UGGGGGGGCCGAGGGACUGGGGGGAAGAAGGGGGACGGCGAUGUCCCCGCGCUUUCCCCCUUUCUGCUGCGGAUGGUGCUCAGUGGGGAGGAAUCUGUAUGGGGGUGGUCGCUUUGCCCUCCAUCCCUCCCAUGCCGCCCCUUCCCCUGUGCUGCUGCAGAUCCCGGGACUGGGGACCCCCCCCCCGCCCCGGGGCAUGCCGGGACCCAGAUGGUCACUUUCUCUGUCGGGCACCGGUUGCGGUUGCGGGAGAAGGGCGGUGGCGUUAGGGCUUCCUCUCCUGCUCCUCCUCUCCCUUUGCCCGUGUGGACAGUACGAAGGGGCAAAAGACCGAAGCCGGGGUUUGGGGUGGGGGGCAGCGGGGCUCAGAUGUUUUCCUGCCCUUCUCUUGCAGAGGGGAUCCCUGCUCUAUCCUCAGGAGCCACAGGCCGAGGGUGGAAUAUGUUGAAAAAGGAGCUAAGCUGGGAGAGAGGAAGGAAUAGGGAGGGGGCCGAGAUUUUUCUCCCCCCUCUUACCCUUUCCCCUGUUCCCCGCCCCCCCCUCCCCCUAUUCCGUUCGGCUCCUGCUGGUGCUGAGGAGAGAGGAACGUGGGAAGGGCUGGGAUGGCGGCGUGGCUCCCCCUUUCCCCCGACUGCCGCAGGCAGGAGGAGGGGGGUUAACGGGCCGGGCCAGCCCGGAGCCCCCUUUCUCCGGCCGGUCGCUGUUGCUCCCCGAGGGAGGCGCGGGGCCGCGGGCUGCCCAAAGGGCUCGGAAUCGGGGGCCUGAGCUUGCUUCCCGCUCGCCGGUUGGGUGGCCCUGGGUCAGCCUCUGCAGACUAGGGGACCUUCCCGCCAGGGCCGUGAGGAGGUUCCAGUGGGCAGCACUCCCAGGAUGCCCAGACCCGGCGCCCGCGCCCCCCUCCCAGCCCCCACUAGCCUAGGGUCCGUACCCUGCUAGAGCGGGGGGGGGGGGAGGGAAAGGGGGGAAGGGGAGUAAGCGUGGGGCGCGCAGGCCUAUGGGGCCCGGCAGCCAGGCCUUUCCCGUCCUGCCUCGCCGCUGAGGCCAGUGAGCUCAGGCCCAGCUCCGUUGGGGGAGGGGCCCAUCCCACGACCCCCCUUCGUUCUGGGGCCCAGGCUGAGCCGCGGAGCUGCUUGGGAGGACGGGCCCCGGGCCCCCGGAGCUUCUGAGUCUUUGUGAGGGGGAGGACCCCGCGGCUCAGGCCGAGAAGGGGGGGGGGGGGACGCUGGUGGAGGGCGGAGUCAGCAGGUCGGAGCCGGACUGGGCCCGCAGCCUGGCGAGGAGCUUUCUCGCCUGCCUCUCCUCGUUCCCUCCCGCCAUGGUCCUCACGGGCUGGGGCUCCCAUCUGCCAGUCUGCAAGGGAGAGCCGGGGGCGGGGGCCGUGGCUGCCGGGGUGCUCUUUGUCCCCCUUGGGACUGGGGGGGCGCUGGGGUGUGAGGGCAGAAGACUAGGGAGUGGCCGGGGAGGGCCCUUUGUCCCGGGCCCUAAUCCCUCCUCUCCCUCCCCUUCCCCUGUGCUGCCCGGGGCAGAGAGGAGGCGGCAGCGCAGGCCACUGCCCAGCCCCCUUAAAUGCGCUCUGGGGCCCCCUCUGAGAGUCUGCUUCUGGAGGCCAGGGUCUCUCCCUCUCUGACCUUUGGGGCUGCCCCUCAGCCCGCUGCCCAGCGCCUUGCCCGGGAAGAGGCCUUGAGGAGUGCUGGCCAGUGGAUUGGAUUGGAUCUGGGAUGUCCCGGCUGGCUUUCUGGAGGUCCUUCGUGCGGGCCUUGGUCUCGGCAGGAUGGACACCACGAGAACGUCAAGAAUGGAGUCUAGUUUUUAUUCUGGCCCAGCCUUAAUCUUAGUGCAGGAGGCAGGAGAGCCCCGAGAGGCAGCUCAACGAGAGAAUGUCCGUCGUCCAGUCCUUGUUGGCCCUUCUGUACCUUAUUGUAGUUCUAUCUUUACAGCGCACUGAAUAUGCGGGAACUAGAGAAGCAUCCUCUCAUCAGUUCCACUGAGUUAACACCUUGUUUCAAGUAGACUUCUCCAGAGUUGCCGCCCUCUACAUGAUCCAUGGCACUCCAGACCCGCUGGGUUAUUCGAGGAGCCUGGAGGCUUCCUGCUCCCGGCCACCUUUGGGGUGCCGGCGGCUGUCUAAGGAGGGCCACACUUUGAAGGGAAAUCUCCAUGACUGAGCGGCACUGGAUCGCUUGCUCAGCCUCGUGGGAACAAAAGCCUGGAAGGCCCAGGAUCAGAUGCCCAGUAGUGGGGGCCAGCCCAAGCAACUGGUGAUUUCAUGUGAAGGCAUCUCCUUUCCCAGGAAGAACCGAUGCUGCUGCAGGAUUCGGGGAAGCUCAGGAAGACUUGUUUAAAGGAAUGGUGGUCCAAGAGAACCACUGCUAGAGAGGCAAGAGAAUGUAAAGCCGGAAUAGGGAAUCUUUUUUCUGCCCAGGGCUCUCUGGAUAUUUAGAACAUCAUUUGAGGGCCAGCUUAAAACCUGAAGUGAUGGGAGGUUGUGGUGCCUCGCUUUCAGCUCUUCAAGGCCUGCGGGGCCAGACCAAAUGGUUCUGUGGGCCUUAUGCAGCUCCCAAGCCAUUUGUUCCCUCCCCUGAUGUAAAGGGACACAGACGCUGAAAGACAUGGGGACUCGUCAAUGAGAUGAUGCAAACUGAGUCCAGGGGGGCUGCUGAGGAGCCUUGGCUCCCUCCUUUGCUGGACUGGAGGUGCAGAAGGAGGCACAGUGUUUGGACUGUUCUCCUCCAUUAAAACCCAACUCCUCUUGUC